rfam:Gordonia terrae NBRC 100016 DNA, contig: GOTRE027.
UUGUAAGUGUGUAAGGGCGUUCGGUGGAUGCCUUGGUACCAGGAGCCGAUGAAGGACGUGGUAGGCCGCGAUAGUCCUCGGGGAGUUGUCAAACGAGCUGUGAUCCGAGGGUGUCCGAAUGGGGAAACCCAGCACGAGUGAUGUCGUGUUACCACCAGCUGAAUGUAUAGGCUGUGUGGGGGGAACGUGGGGAAGUGAAACAUCUCAGUACCCAUAGGAAGAGAAAACAAUUGUGAUUCCGUGAGUAGUGGCGAGCGAAAGCGGAGGAGGCUAAACCAUGCGCAUGUGAUACCGGGUAGGGGUUGUGCGUGUGGGGUUGUGGGGUUCGUCUUCUUCCAUCUGCCUGUGGAAGCGUGAGUGAGAAAAUCGUGUGUUAGGUGAAGUGGCCUGGAAUGGUCUGCCGUAGUCGGUGAGAGUCCGGUAGCUGAAAACACAUGGUCUUGCGUGACGGUGUCCCCAAGUAGCAGCGGGCUCGUGGAAUCUGCUGUGAAUCUGCCGGGACCACCCGGUAAGCCUGAAUACUUCCUGGUGACCGAUAGCGGACAAGUACCGUGAGGGAAAGGUGAAAAGUACCCCGGGAGGGGAGUGAAAUAGUACCUGAAACCGGACGCUUACAAUCCGUCAAAGCCUGUGCACAGUUUACUGUGGCGGGUGAUGGCGUGCCUUUUGAAGAAUGAGCCUGCGAGUUAGUGCUCGGUGGCGAGGUUAACCCGUGUGGGGUAGCCGUAGCGAAAGCGAGUCUGAAUAGGGCGUUUGAGUCGCCGGGUCUAGACCCGAAGCGGAGUGAUCUACCCAUGGCCAGGGUGAAGCGUCGGUAAGACGUCGUGGAGGCCCGAACCCACUUCAGUUGAAAAUGGAGGGGAUGAGUUGUGGGUAGGGGUGAAAGGCCAAUCAAACUCCGUGAUAGCUGGUUCUCCCCGAAAUGCAUUUAGGUGCAGCGUCACAUGUUUCUUACUGGAGGUAGAGCUACUGGAUGGCCGAUGGGCCCCACAGGGUUACUGACGUCAGCCAAACUCCGAAUGCCGGUAAGUGAGAGUGUGGCAGUGAGACUGCGGGCGAUAAGGUUCGUAGUCGAGAGGGAAACAGCCCAGAUCGCCGGCUAAGGCCCCUAAGCGUGUACUAAGUGGAAAAGGAUGUGGGGUCGCGAAGACAACCAGGAGGUUGGCUUAGAAGCAGCCACCCUUGAAAGAGUGCGUAAUAGCUCACUGGUCAAGUGAUCCUGCGCCGACAAUGUAGCGGGGCUCAAGUACACCGCCGAAGCCGCGGCACUCACAUAUAGCCCGUCG